GUGUGACUGCGUACCUUUUGUAUAAUGGGUCAGCGACUUAUAUUCUGUAGCAAGGUUAACCGUAUAGGGGAGCCGCAGGGAAACCGAGUCUUAACUGGGCGUUAAGUUGCAGGGUAUAGACCCGAAACCCGGUGAUCUAGCCAUGGGCAGGUUGAAGGUUGGGUAACACUAACUGGAGGACCGAACCGACUAAUGUUGAAAAAUUAGCGGAUGACUUGUGGCUGGGGGUGAAAGGCCAAUCAAACCGGGAGAUAGCUGGUUCUCCCCGAAAGCUAUUUAGGUAGCGCCUCGUGAACUCAUCUUCGGGGGUAGAGCACUGUUUCGGCUAGGGGGUCAUCCCGACUUACCAACCCGAUGCAAACUACGAAUACCGAAGAAUGUUAUCACGGGAGACACACGGCGGGUGCUAACGUCCGUCGUGAAGAGGGAAACAACCCAGACCGCCAGCUAAGGUCCCAAAGUCAUGGUUAAGUGGGAAACGAUGUGGGAAGGCACAGACAGCCAGGAUGUUGGCUUAGAAGCAGCCAUCAUUUAAAGAAAGCGUAAUAGCUCACUGGUCGAGUCGGCCUGCGCGGAAGAUGUAACGGGGCUAAACCAUGCACCGAAGCUGCGGCAGCGACACUAUGUGUUGUUGGGUAGGGGAGCGUUCUGUAAGCCUGCGAAGGUGACCUGUGAGGGUUGCUGGAGGUAUCAGAAGUGCGAAUGCUGACAUAAGUAACGAUAAAGCGGGUGAAAAGCCCGCUCGCCGGAAGACCAAGGGUUCCUGUCCAACGUUAAUCGGGGCAGGGUGAGUCGACCCCUAAGGCGAGGCCGAAAGGCGUAGUCGAUGGGAAACAGGUUAAUAUUCCUGUACUUGGUGUUACUGCGAAGGGGGGACGGAGAAGGCUAUGUUAGCCGGGCGACGGUUGUCCCGGUUUAAGCAUGUAGGCUGGUUAUCCAGGCAAAUCCGGAUAAUCAAGGCUGAGGUGUGAUGACGAGGCACUACGGUKCUGAAGUAACAAAUGCCCUGCUUCCAGGAAAAGCCUCUAAGCAUCAGGUAACAUCAAAUCGUACCCCAAACCGACACAGGUGGUCAGGUAGAGAAUACCAAGGCGCUUGAGAGAACUCGGGUGAAGGAACUAGGCAAAAUGGUGCCGUAACUUCGGGAGAAGGCACGCUGGUGUGUAGGUGAAGYCCCUGCGGRUGGAGCUGAGACCAGUCGAAGAUACCAGCUGGCUGCAACUGUUUAUUAAAAACACAGCACUGUGCAAACACGAAAGUGGACGUAUACGGUGUGACGCCUGCCCGGUGCCGGAAGGUUAAUUGAUGGGGUUAUCCGUAAGGAGAAGCUCUUGAUCGAAGCCCCGGUAAACGGCGGCCGUAACUAUAACGGUCCUAAGGUAGCGAAAUUCCUUGUCGGGUAAGUUCCGACCUGCACGAAUGGCGUAAUGAUGGCCAGGCUGUCUCCACCCGAGACUCAGUGAAAUUGAACUCGCUGUGAAGAUGCAGUGUACCCGCGGCAAGACGGAAAGACCCCGUGAACCUUUACUAUAGCUUGACACUGAACAUUGAGCCUUGAUGUGUAGGAUAGGUGGGAGGCUUUGAAGCGUGGACGCCAGUCUGCGUGGAGCCAACCUUGAAAUACCACCCUUUAAUGUUUGAUGUUCUAACGUUGGCCCCUKACCGGGGUUGCGGACAGUGUCUGGUGGGUAGUUUGACUGGGGCGGUCUCCUCCCAAAGCGUAACGGAGGAGCACGAAGGUUAGCUAAUCCUGGUCGGACAUCAGGAGGUUAGUGCAAUGGCAUAAGCUAGCUUGACUGCGAGCGUGACGGCGCGAGCAGGUGCGAAAGCAGGUCAUAGUGAUCCGGUGGUUCUGAAUGGAAGGGCCAUCGCUCAACGGAUAAAAGGUACUCCGGGGAUAACAGGCUGAUACCGCCCAAGAGUUCAUAUCGACGGCGGUGUUUGGCACCUCGAUGUCGGCUCAUCACAUCCUGGGGCUGAAGUAGGUCCCAAGGGUAUGGCUGUUCGCCAUUUAAAGUGGUACGCGAGCUGGGUUUAGAACGUCGUGAGACAGUUCGGUCCCUAUCUGCCGUGGGCGCUGGAGAAUUGAGGGGGGCUGCUCCUAGUACGAGAGGACCGGAGUGGACGCAUCACUGGUGUUCGGGUUGUCAUGCCAAUGGCACUGCCCGGUAGCUAAAUGCGGAAGAGAUAAGUGCUGAAAGCAUCUAAGCACGAAACUUGCCCCGAGAUGAGUUCUCCCUGAGACUUUAAG
rnacentral:rRNA from 1 species